AGUGGGGAAUAUUGCACAAUGGGCGCAAGCCUGAUGCAGCCAUGCCGCGUGUGUGAAGAAGGCCUUCGGGUUGUAAAGCACUUUCAGUCGUGAGGAAGGUGGUGUCGUUAAUAGCGGCAUCAUUUGACGUUAGCGACAGAAGAAGCACCGGCUAACUCCGUGCCAGCAGCCGCGGUAAUACGGAGGGUGCGAGCGUUAAUCGGAAUUACUGGGCGUAAAGCGCAUGCAGGUGGUUAGUUAAGUCAGAUGUGAAAGCCCGGGGCUCAACCUCGGAACUGCAUUUGAAACUGGCGGACUAGAGUACUGUAGAGGGGGGUAGAAUUUCAGGUGUAGCGGUGAAAUGCGUAGAGAUCUGAAGGAAUACCGGUGGCGAAGGCGGCCCCCUGGACAGAUACUGACACUCAGAUGCGAAAGCGUGGGGAGCAAA
rnacentral:rRNA from 1 species